rnacentral:rRNA from 1 species
GACGAACGCUGGCGGCGCGCUUAACACAUGCAAGUCGAACGGAAAGGCCUGCUUUCCCUUGUGGAUUGCGGGUACUCGAGUGGCGAACGGGUGAGUAACACGUGAGUGAUCUGCCCCCAACUUGGGUAUAAGCCUGGGACACUGGGUCUAAUUCCCGAUAGGACUGCAGGGUGGUGCCUGUGGUGGAAAACGAUUUUCUAGUGGUUGGGGAUGAGCUCGCGGCCUAUCAGCUUGUUGGUGGGGUAAUGGCCUACCAAGGCGGCGACGGGUAGCCGGCCUGAGAGGGUGGACGGCCACAUUGGGACUGAGAUACGGCCCAGACUCCUACGGGAGGCAGCAGUGGGGAAUAGUGCACAAUGGGCGGAAGCCUGAUGCAGCGACGCCGCGUGGGGGAUGACGGCCUUCGGGUUGUAAACUCCUUUCGACCGCGAGGAAGCCACCUGGUUGGAAGGGUGGUGACGGUAGUGGUAGAAGAAGCACCGGCUAACUACGUG